rnacentral:tRNA from 1 species
GGCGGGUGGCCCAGGGGGGCGGCGCGGUCCUUGAAAUCGCGUGGUCCGGUUCGACACCGGAGCCCGCUUCCA